rnacentral:lncRNA from 1 species
GACGAAGUACAACUCUCGGAUUUCGAGAAUUCACUUCCUUACAUAUAACACAAUGCCUGUCGAAAUAUUUUACGCAUUUCUAAAAUAUGAAGCAUAUCUUAAUACCUUCAUAUAUAAUAUCCAAUCUUAUCUCAUCAUAAUACUUAUCAAACAAUAUAUAGAGCAUAUCUUUUUUUGGUAGCAUAGCUAUCACGCCCCGCGACCGCCAGUUUGGUCGGUUCGGGCACGUCGAUCAGACGUCGAACGGACAGCACCUCUCCUGUCCGCCCAAGGCUAAACAACAAAGUCAUGUACAUC